rnacentral:misc_RNA from 1 species
AACCAUAGAAACCUGCGGAGUACCUGCGGAGGGAUCAUUAUAGUAUAUGGAAUCUCCAUUCUAUAACCCACUCUGCGUAUCUUGUAACUGUUGCUUCCAUGGGACUUGGUUCCGCCACACCGGCUUCACGGCUGGUGAGCGCCCAUGGAAGGAGAAACAAAACUCUUCUUUGAAAUGUAGUCAGUCUGAACAAGUUUUUAUAAACGUUAAAACUUUUAGCAACGGAUCUCAGAUCGGAAG